AGCGAACGCUGGCGGCAGGCUUAACACAUGCAAGUCGAGCGGGCACUUCGGUGUCAGCGGCAGACGGGUGAGUAACACGUGGGAACGUACCCUUCGGUUCGGAAUAACGCUGGGAAACUAGCGCUAAUACCGGGUACGCCCUUUUGGGGAAAGGUUUACUGCCGAAGGAUCGGCCCGCGUCUGAUUAGCUAGUUGGUGGGGUAAUGGCCUACCAAGGCGACGAUCAGUAGCUGGUCUGAGAGGAUGAUCAGCCACACUGGGACUGAGACACGGCCCAGACUCCUACGGGAGGCAGCAGUGGGGAAUAUUGGACAAUGGGCGCAAGCCUGAUCCAGCCAUGCCGCGUGAGUGAUGGAGGCCUUAGGGUUGUAAAGCUCUUUUGACCGGGACGAUAAUGACGGUACCGGAAGAAUAAGCCCCGGCUAACUUCGUG
rnacentral:rRNA from 1 species